rnacentral:rRNA from 1 species
GACAAACGCUGGCGGCGUGCUUAACACAUGCAAGUCGAACGGAAAGGCCCCCACCUUGGUGGGGGUGCUCGAGUGGCGAACGGGUGAGUAACACGUGGGUGAUCUGCCCUGUACUUCGGGAUAAGCUUGGGAAACUGGGUCUAAUACCGGAUAGGACCAUGGUUUAGUGUCCCAUGGUGGAAAGAUUAUUGUUUUGGUGCAGGAUGAGCUCGCGGCCUAUCAGCUUGUUGGUGGGGUAAUGGCCUACCAAGGCGUCGACGGGUAGCCGGCCUGAGAGGGUGGACGGCCACAUUGGGACUGAGAUACGGCCCAGACUCCUACGGGAGGCAGCAGUGGGGAAUAUUGCACAAUGGGCGCAAGCCUGAUGCAGCGACGCCGCGUGGGGGAUGACGGCCUUCGGGUUGUAAACUCCUUUCGUUAGGGACGAAGCCACACUUUUUUUGGGUGUGGUGACGGUACCUUUGUUAAGAAGCACCGGCUAACUACGUGCCAGCAGCCGCGGUAAUACGUAGGGUGCGAGCGUUGUCCGGAAUUACUGGGCGUAAAGAGCUCGUAGGUGGUUUGUUGCGUCGUCUGUGAAAUUCCGGGGCUUAACUCCGGGGUGGCAGGCGAUACGGGCAUAACUAGAGUGCUGUAGGGGAGACUGGAAUUCCUGGUGUAGCGGUGGAAUGCGCAGAUAUCAGGAGGAACACCGAUGGCGAAGGCAGGUCUCUGGGCAGUAACUGACGCUGAGGAGCGAAAGCAUGGGGAGCGAACAGGAUUAGAUACCCUGGUAGUCCAUGCUGUAAACGGUGGGCGUUAGGUGUGGGGACCGGUUUGGUUUCUGUGCCGUAGCUAACGCAUUAAGCGCCCCGCCUGGGGAGUACGGCCGCAAGGCUAAAACUCAAAGGAAUUGACGGGGGCCCGCACAAGCGGCGGAGCAUGUGGAUUAAUUCGAUGCAACGCGAAGAACCUUACCUGGGUUUGACAUGCACCAGACGGUUGUAGAGAUACGUACCUCCCUUUGUGGUUGGUGUGCAGGUGGUGCAUGGUUGUCGUCAGCUCGUGUCGUGAGAUGUUGGGUUAAGUCCCGCAACGAGCGCAACCCUUGUCUUAUGUUGCCAGCACUUUGGGUGGGGACUCAUGAGAGACUGCCGGGGUUAACUCGGAGGAAGGUGGGGAUGACGUCAAAUCAUCAUGCCCUUUAUGCCCAGGGCUUCACACAUGCUACAAUGGUUAGUACAACGCGCGGCAAGCCUGUGAGGGUGAGCGAAUCGCUGAAAGCUAAUCUCAGUUCGGAUUGGGGUCUGCAACUCGACCCCAUGAAGUCGGAGUCGCUAGUAAUCGCAGAUCAGCAAUGCUGCGGUGAAUACGUUCCCGGGCCU